rnacentral:lncRNA from 1 species
AUGACGACCGUCGGAGUAUCUCGGCAGUCCGUUUUCGAAAUCACACCCAACAAAAGCUCCGAAAAAGCUCACAAAUUCGGGGUGCGCGUCCUGCCCGACCUGCGGCUGAACCAAGACGUCAAAUCCCCCAACUACAUCGAGUCCGAGAAACAGAACGCCUGCAACACGAUGCUCGAGAACUCGACGGCCAACAUCAUCGCCAACACGAACGCAAUCAACCACGCAUCCAACAAAGCGGAAAGCUUCGAUGAGGUGGACUUGGGGUCGAAACAGUCGAACGGUGGGAACUCGCAUACCAUCGAAAUGUCGACCGGAAGAAACACACCCACCUCCCACUUCAAGGAACACAACGUCAAAGCUAUCCUCGUCAAAGGACUACAGAAUUUAAAGGACAAGAUUAACUUACCGCACAUCCACAAGAACAGCAACGGCAAAGUGGUAAAUCCGUCUUCCGAUGUGGAGAAAGACGCCAAAGCUACGGAGAAAGUGAUAGAGAACCCCCACGCAGAAGGCAGAAUCAAGUUGGAGACGGUGCCAAUGAAGAACGAAGAGCUUCAGCAAGUUGUCGUGUCAACCGCAGAUGUUGAAGUCAAAGCUAAUGGUCCCAGUAAACUCAUGGAGGAGGUUGAAAAAGCUGUGUCCAGCAUGCAGAAGUCUGCCGAGCCGACGGUUGUCACUGUCGGAAGGAAAGACAGCGGCUGCAGUGCGGACUCAACCGACGACACCUCCGGUCAGAAGAAAUCAAAGAGGAAGGCACCGAUGCCGCCGCAGGAAUCAAAGAGCGACGAUGCUAAAGAAGGAGAGGACGUCGAGCCCGCAGUCAAGUCAGCUGCCGAUGGGCUCGAAGCGGAGGUCAUGAACCUCGUAUACUUCGGUAAUAAUAAGUUCAUUGCCGAUGAACACCCGAGCCUCGUCGAGUCCAUCGACAGCGACUCGGAAGUACAGAGCAGCACGACGAUCGAGCUCAACUCAUCUCAUAUCACCGUCCACCACGUACCUGAAGACACCAACCGGAAAGCCGCCUCCCUCGGCGACCUGUCCAAGAUCGCCGACGACGAGCCGUCCGCCGUUCUGGAGCGGGCGAUGUCCUUGGACAUGGCGACGGAACCCCCAGGGGCAGCAAAAAGCGGAAAGCCCCGCUCCCGCCGCAAGAGGACUUCGUGCUCGACGACGCCCCCUUCUGCAAGGAACCCAGGUUGGAUCUAG